AGGCAGGAAGCCUUGAGCCAGCCCAAA
rnacentral:piRNA from 1 species